GAUGAACGCUAGCGGGAGGCCUAACACAUGCAAGCCGAGCGGUAUUUCUUCUUCGGGAGAGAGAGAGCGGCGUACGGGUGCGGAACACGUGUGCAACCUGCCUUUAUCUAGAGGAUAGCCUUUCGAAAGGAAGAUUAAUACUCUAUAAUAUAUUAAUUAGCAUCAAUUGAUAUUGAAAACUCCGGUGGAUAGAGAUGGGCACGCGCAAGAUUAGCUAGUUGGUGAGGUAACGGCUCACCAAGGCAAUGAUCUUUAGGGGGCCUGAGAGGGUGAUCCCCCACACUGGGACUGAGACACGGACCAGACUCCUACGGGAGGCAGCAGUGAGGAAUAUUGGUCAAUGGGUGCAAGCCUGAACCAGCCAUCCCGCGUGAAGGAUUAAGGUCCUAUGGAUUGUAAACUUCUUUUGUAUAGGGAUAAACCUACCCUCGUGAGGGUAGCUGAAGGUACUAUACGAAUAAGCACCGGCUAACUCCGUGCCAGCAGCCGCAGUAACAC
rnacentral:rRNA from 1 species